rnacentral:rRNA from 1 species
CCUACGGGUGGCAGCAGUGGGGGAUAUUGCACAAUGGGGGGAACCCUGAUGCAGCGACGCCGCGUGGGUGAAGAAGCGCCUCGGCGCGUAAAGCCCUGUCAGCAGGGAAGAAAAUGACGGUACCUGAAGAAGAAGCCCCGGCUAACUACGUGCCAGCAGCCGCGGUAAUACGUAGGGGGCAAGCGUUAUCCGGAUUUACUGGGUGGAAAGGGGGCGCAGACGGCGGUGCAAGCCAGUUGUGAAACCCCUGGGCCCAACCCAGGGACUGCUUUUGGAACUGGGUGGCUUGAGUGCAGGAGGGGCAGGCGGAAUUCCGGGUGUAGCGGUGAAAUGCGUAGAUAUAAGGAGGAACACCGGUGGCGAAGGCGGCCUGCUGGACGGCAACUGACGUUGAGGCGCGAAAGCGUGGGGAGCAAACAGGAUUAGAUACCCCUGUAGUC